UCGGCCGUAUCAUGACGGAAGCAAUGCCGAAUGGCCUCGUCUCGAAAUCAUUCGCGACGACCAUUGCAGGCAAGCCCGCAGCCAAUGGCCUGCGGACCGUGCUGAAGUUCCAGCGCGUCGAGCAACAGCGCUACUUCGAUGUGGCAGGAUUUCCGGGAAAAACCGUCGGCCUUCCGGAGAUGGCCAAAACGGCAGCAAAGACGGCAGGCGCAAAGUAGCGCCUGCCUCUUAUUGGUGGAACGCGCUCGCCUUACAUUCCAAGGUCGAGGAAAUUCGGCAGCGUAUGUGCAAGCGGCAGGGUCGCCGCGCCGAUCAGGCUCGCGACCAGCAC
rnacentral:misc_RNA from 1 species